rnacentral:lncRNA from 1 species
AAGAAGUUCCCCCACUGAGUGGAAAUGGUUAGGCCUUGCUCAGUGGUUGACUGGGGACCCCUCUGAGAAAAGCAUAGGAUGAAAACCUGAAGCUGUCUGAAGAUGCAAACAGCUGGGGACUGUCAGCUAACCACCCUCCCUGGAGCUGAGGAGUGAGUCCUUUCUUGAAGGAGGAUCUGAUUGGCGCAUCUCCACAUCUGCCACAGUUUACCUUGUGUCCCGUGUGGCUCCACUUCAUAGCACAGUUGUGGAGCAGCUCUUCUGGGGUUCUGGUGGGCCUCUCUUCCUGAGGGGAAACUUAAAAGAGGGAAUUUAGAGAGAUGAACUAUAGCCCCCAUGGCUACAGGUGGUCUCAUAACCACAACUGAUACUCAUUGUCUCUCUCCUCCACUAACUGUUCGAAAGUCCCUCACUCUCUGCUGGCCUCAGUGGCUCACAUGGUGGUGUUUCCCAAACCAUCCUUCCUGAGGGGCCUGAAUUCCUGGUAAUCUUACCCGUGUCUAGGCUCCAUUACUACAUCACUACAUUUGUCACAAUUAGGCAAGAGCCUUCCAAGAGGCACCCAAGUGGGUCAACUGAGUUCCAUGGACGUUCCUCCCUGCUCCCAUCAUGUAACAGCAGCUCUGCCUGCUCCUGCUGAUCAAGGUCAAUUACCCCUGACAGAAGUGGUUCCUCUUCUUGCCUCCUGGUUCCUGGCCGCACAGAGCCCGGAGUGUCCAAGUGGAGCUGUAGCUUAUUGUUCAAUGGGAUUUUUGCCAUCCUCUGCCAAAAACACACCCUUUCUGGGGACCAGGACCUCUAACCCUGCAGAAUCCAGAGCUGUGGGGACCCCUAGUGAGUCACUGAAAGUGAUGGUGUCCCUGGAAGGGUAUGACCUUGGAUGAAGCUGAAGCAACUCCCUAAAGGGGCUGAAGGCUGAAUGAAGGUUGUACACUGACAGCACUCUCAGCAGCUGAGGCAACAAGCCCUUCCCUGGGGGAAGAUCUGGACCAUGCCUCGCCAUGUCUCUGCCACAAGGUCAAGCUUCUGUGCACCAGGCUCUGCCCAAGCGUGAUUGCCAGGAAGUCUGUCCCAUGCAGUGCUGCAGACCUGUGUAUUUCUUCAGGGACCUCAGCCAGGUACUACAAUGGAGGCAAAGGUGCUGCUUGAGGAAGAAUUCCGGCUUUGGCUCAGCUAUUCUGCAGUCUACCUUCCCUCAGAGCAGAGAGUUUGGGGCAGGGUUUUCUACUUAUUUAAGAGAAUGUCGUUCAAGCCAUCUACUUGCUUGAUGUGAGAGAUUUAUGUGUUUUCUAACAUAGUCAUCAAUGUAAGGUUCUAACACUCUAUAUUCCAGUUGGAGAAUAACCUUGAAUUGUCAAUUGUUUUACUCCUUUCAAAAGCUAAACAGGAAAUUGACGUUUAGUCAAUUUUGUUUAAGGGACAUGGUAUCCAUCACUUUUGGUGUCUUUUAACAUUGUUCUUUUAUCACAUUUGAUCACUGUAAAUCUACACGUUUAUGUGACGUUAACUUAGUCCUCUCCAGAAUACCCAUUACUGAAUUUAUCUUUUAGAGAGUGUAAAGACUAGAUUUGCUAUAAAACUAUUGAAGUUAUUGACUAAAAUCUCCUACAAUGUCUCCUAUAAAAGGCAUCAAAUAUUGGGUUUAUCUUAUUUUAGGGUUUAGUACUAGGAGAAAAAAUCUCUUCUGAAAAACUGGUUUCCUUAUUCCCCAUUCUAAGAGCAACACAUUGUGUUACUCUUCUUUUUCUCACUGGCAGAAAUAGAAUUAAUAAUCAUUCACAGUUACCCUGUCAGCCUUUGAGGCUAGAAUAUAUGCUUCCUCCUCCUUUUUACGACUUUAGUGUUAUAUUUCUUUUUUUUUUUUUGCAAACAACCGUUGCCAAUGUUUUUUUUUUUUCUUUAAUUGCUCUUUCCCCCCAAAGCCCCCCAGCACUUAGUUGCAUAUUUUAGUGGUGGAUCCUUCUAGUUGUGGCACAUGCGAUGCUGCCUCAACAUGGCCUGAUGAGUGGUGCCAUGUCCGCGCCCAGGAUCCGAACCGGCAAAACCUUGGGCUACUGAAGCGGAGUGCGCGAACUUAACCACUCAGCCAUGGGGCCGGCCCCUGGUAUUAUAUUUCUAUCCCAAUAAAUGUGUUACAUAUGUGUCUAUUAUUGGAAGCUGCUGUAUGGCCUUAAUUUAUUUUUAGAAAAAGUAGGGCUAUGAAUUUAUAUCGCCAUAAACACUUCAAUAAGAAACACUAUGUUCAUUAAAAAAAAUACAACAACAACGACAAAAACCCAACAACAACACACUAUAUCCAGGUAAUGAACAAAUUUUUCUUAAAUCUAAUAAAAAAAAGAGUAAAACUACUCAUUAUUUGUUUAUCUAAAAAUGAAAUUUUUUAUUCAUUAACUCUUGAAUUCAUUCAAGAAUGUGAAAUAUUAGAUAAAUUCGUUGAACCUCUAAAUGCAGUAGUAAACAUUAGGUAUGCCGUACUCCAUGGUGGAGGCUGGCAGCUACAUCCUUUUGGGAGAUCCUAGGUAAGGAUAGGAGAAAGGAAAAGGAGGGAGUAGGGAGGGCAAUGGCUGUCCUACAUCCACUAAACAUGUAUGUGCACCCACUUAAGCCGCCUCGGUGAGUCAGUCCCGACUGUUCCCGGCCUGGCUCAACAAUCAUGUAAACUCUGUGAGGGCUAGGAUUUGCAUCAGGCACAAGUGAGCUCAGGUUUUCUAUUAGAUAUUUGGCAAAUGAAUGAAUAAAUGAAUGAAUGAGUCAGUGUUAGAGCUACCCUAUUAUGAUAGUGGUGAUCCCAUUGUCCUAGAGCCUGAGCUCCUGCUCUUGUCCUCAAGCUUCUCUUGCCAGGAAAUGGUAGACCCAUCUCUGGGGACUCUGGGAAGCUGUUUCCCAGCGAGCCCUUGCCUCAGAAGAUUGUAGAUCUUAGAAAUGGCAUUCAUGUGCUUUCUGCACCCAAACUCCACGCCUGUAAAUACAAAGUUGGUUGUGCUUUAAAAUAUUAUGCUCUUCAGAAUCCCCACAAAUGUCCAUCAGCAUUCAUUUCCCCUAAUUUUUCGUAGUUUAUACAAGACAAUGUAAGAUACCAUUAUCACAUUAUCUUGGGUCCUUUGAAGCUUUGUGAUGAAAUCAACAUUAUCAUACUUUUUUUUUCUUUGUUGAGGAAGAUUCACCCUGAGCUAACAUCCACUGCAAAUCAUCUUCUGUAUGUGAACCACCACCACAGCCUAGUCAUUGACAGACGGUGGUAUAGAUCUGCGCCAGGGAAUUGAACCCCGGCCGCUGAAGCAGAGCAUGCCAAGCUUAACCACUAGGCUCCCCAGGGCUGGCCCUAUCAUACAUUUUUAAAACAUCAUGAAAUUGGGGAAUCACUCUAACGCAAUGGUUCCCAAACUUUAGUGUGUAUCAGGUCUGCCUGGAGGGUUUGUUAAAACUUAGGUUAGUGGGUCCCAUUUUCAGAGUUUCUGAUUCCCCAGGUCUGGGGUAGGGCUCAAGAACUUGCAUUUCUAACAGAUUCCCAGGUGAUGCUGACGCUAGUCCAGGGAUCACACUUUGAGAACCACAACUCUAAACCAACUUUCUUUACCAAACACUCUGCCUCUUGUGACAUUUUGGUUGCUUCUGUUCUGAAUGCUGUUGGCAAAUGUGCAGAAUGGCCUCAGGAGUGUGAGACUGAGUAAUCUGGUGACUGCAACCUGUGUUAUCUACAGCUGGUGGCUGAUUGCAAAAUGGAGCAAUUAAGGAUUAAGACAUAAAUCACAGGAAAUUAACACGAAGCAGCACUGAGCACAAAACCCAUAAAAUUGCUAACAUUCUUCUGUUUUGGUCGUACACGUGCAUCCUGCUUUGCUCUGCUAUUGUACCCAACAUGAUGGGACCACACCCAGAACAAACAAAAGACUGUCUGUCUCUGCCACCAGAGAAUGGUAAGGUCACAGGCAGGCAAGAGAAUGGAAGUAAAUUCAAUGAAAAAAGAUUCUGCUGCUGAUGAUAAAGAAAAAUGACAUUAUACUGAUUUAAUUUUAUAAAUAUCCAUACUCAGUCACGUAACUGUGGCAGAGUAGAAAUUUGAAUUUCUGUGGCCUCCGAAGAGCGGCUUCUUUAUGCCAAAAUAAUUUCUCUCUGAAUGUUUUCUACGAGUUAGAACUUCAUAUGACUAUUUCAUAUGGAUUCAUUAUUGAUAUGGCUUCUCAGAAUAAAAAACCUGAAACGUACCAUAAGAUAGAUAUGAAUUUGAAACGUAGACUGAUGAAGUGGAAAAAGCUGAAAUUUCAUAUUGCCAAUUAAUAAUUCAUUUAACUUCUUAGAAAUUUAUAUUUGGGUUUCUUCUUAUAUAUACUCAUUUUAAAAAUUUAAGGUGAUUAGCACCAAGUAAAAUGAAUUAAUAUAAAGGCUAGAAAAUCUGAUCGGAUUGAUUUGACAAAAAUUAGUUUGAAGGCUUUCUUCCUGUUAUAUCCCUUUUAUAAGGUCACACAGUCACUUUUCAUCUCACAGACUUCCCCAAAUGAUUACUUAUUCCCUGAUGUUUUCUUUGACUAAUCAGAACAAGAUGAUAGUUUCCUUUUUAUUCAUCCUGCUGAUCUCUGAGUGUUAUUUAUCUAAAUGUGUUCCAUCUACUCUUCAUAAUGGUUACAUUGAUGUACAUAAUUUAGGAUGGAAUUGAUUUAAAUAAAAUGUAUUUAAAUUUAAAUUACUACCCAGGAAGAUGGAAGGUAGUAAGUUUGACGGCAGCUCUUAUUUGAUUUAACCAGAAUGUGGUUCUCAACUUGUAAAUAGGUAUAGUUUCAUUUUUAGAAGGCCUAUGCUAUAUGUUUCAAGUGAUGAUUGGUUUUGAUAAUUUCUCAAAUUAUUUUUGCUGUCUAAUCAGGAAAAUGAGGCAUUUGAAACCAAUAGGUGUGAAUUCAUUGAGAGGGUUACACACCUCUGAGUCAAUAGGUUGAUCAUGAUUUUGUUUGGCGUAUUUUGCGAUAUGUUAAUACAUCAAUCAAAACACAAAAAACAAGGUACACAUACGUAAAUGUUUUAUUUGAUUAAAACAAACGUGCUGAAAAUUUUCUAACGACAAACAAAAAUGUUGAAAUUAACCUAACUUGGAGAAUAAAUCUUUCAUCCACCUUGGCCCUUGACUCCUUAGGGACUGGUAUGGCACAGGGAAUUAUGCAAAUUCGUGUUUGCAAUCAUUCCUUUGCAGAAAUUAACACAGGGGACGAGGGAUGUCUUGUUGUAGAAUCUAAUCUUGCUUAAGGAAUGAGAAAAAAAGGCUGCAAUUUCAGAGUUUGGGCCUGGUAAAGUCUACAGGACAAGGAGCCAGGUAAGUUUAGAAGCUUGGAACUAGCUCAACAGAUGCCAGUGUGGCUAAACGGUGACGUGCCACACCAUCUCCACGGGAGAUCUGGGCCUUUGUACUGAUCAUCUUGUGUAGACGUGGCUAUUUUGUUCUCUUAAUAUAUCUUACUAUAGGCAUACUACUUUUGGGAAUUACUGUUUUUCCUUAGAAGCUACCCUCUAUGUGUGUGUCUUUCAUUUAAUACUCACCUCCAGAAUGCUCUGGAAGAAUGAAGGGACACCUCUUCAGGGUACAACGAGAGAAAGGCUGGAGAGGCCCAGAUCUUGGAAUAUUGAAGCUCAUGCUGGGCUUUCCUAGAUAAUCUUGGACAUGUAAUUGCCACACAUUGAUUGGACUUGAGACAUACUUUAAAUUUCCUCAGAAAGACAUUUAUAAAUCAUCUCUCAGGGUGGGUUAAUUUUGCAGAGCUAAUGUUACCUAUAACAACAGCAAACGUUAAAUGCUUGAUAGGUAUGACUCACAACAGGUCCUCACAACGAUCCUAUGAGACUUAUUAUCUUCAUUUUUCAGAGAAACAAGCUGAGGCACAGAAACGCUAAGUAACGUUCCUUAGGCCCCCAGUGGUAAGUCGUAGAGCUGAGACUAGGCCAUUCUCAGUCUGGUUCAAGGGCCUGCACUCUGUGGGGGAUGUGUGUGUGUGUGUGUGUGUUUGUGUGUGUGUGAGUGUGUGUGAAAUAUUUCGAAAAAAGAAAAUCUUGUCAGAGUUGGGGCAAGUUCUGCUCACAGUGGCAGCUGGUCUUAUCCUCGAGGACAAAUGGUUUCUUGGUUCUUUUAAAAAGUAGGCAAACUGUCUUAGGAAGGACAGUGGGCCUUUGCCUGGGCCCUGCUGAUGCAGAUCGUCAGCCAGAGUAUGUUUUGUGUGCCACAUCUCAGGAAAGCCAGAACCUCCCAGAGAAGGACAAUGAAACUGGCAAGGACGUGGAACAGCUUCUCUAUGGGGCAAGAACAGGAAAUUCGAGACACAUCCCUCAUGUCCCCAGCUCCCAACCCCAUCAGAGUCAGUAAAAGACAGAGGUUAGGAGUUGGGAUUUUCUUGGCUAUUCCUCUGACUAGCUAUAUAGACAUGGGCAAGCCUGUGAACAUUGCUGGCCCUGGUCUCCUUAUCUGGAAGAUGGAUUCUGGAAGAAAGCCAAACCAGGGAAUGAUUUCUACAACAAGGCAGCACAGGGCCGCAGUGGGGAACAUUGACACUGGAACCAGGUGGCCUGAGUUUGUACCCCAACUCUAAGCUAUUGUCCAGGCAAGGAUUCAAGCAGAUGGAGGCAAGAGUUGGAGCAAGAGAAGGAGGAGAAAGAGGGAUGUAAAGGCCGGAUGAGUGGGUUAGUACAAGUUGUGUAUAAAUCGGGAACCACUUAGAUUAAUACAUAUGAAGCUUGUUUCUCUUAUGCCAAGACAACACUGUUAAUGAGCUUGGGCAGCCGGAAGUGUCGCUCUGCCAGGUGGGUCCCACCCUCUCCUCUGCUACCACCUGUCUUACUCCUACCUUCCUGCAUUCACUACUCUCCAUUUUCCGUCAACACUGGCCAACACCACUACCUACAUGUCACAAUGUCAAGGGAGGUAUCCAGAUGCCAUUGCAGAAAGUGCCUAUCUCUGCUCAGCCUCCAGAGAGGAGCUUCAUGAGUCCAAGGCAUUGCCAGAGCUGGACUCAUCCUCUUGAAAAUGGUGAGUGAAAUGAGAUCAUUUGUAAGUUGAGAUUUUUAUCAAAAGCCAGUGUUUUAAAGCUCUCUAUGAAACAAACAAAAAUCCCAUGGGGUUUUCCUUAAGGUAUACUCACUUUCACAUGUGUCAUUAUUGACUAAAACUUAUAAUUUAAAUUAUGGCAUACUCCUUAAUUUAAAAUAUGUACUCCUUAAUUUAGAAUACAAUUUUCUUAAAGCUUGAAUUUUAGAAAUGAAAGGGACUUGUGAGACCAUUCAGUUCCAUGUCAUUGUUUUUGAGCUGAGGGACUGAGAGGUGGUGAGGUGAAGGCGCUUAUCCGUGUUCACAGGGCUCAUUAGCAGAGCUGGGUCAUGGGCAGAAUUCUCAGUCAAAAAUUAUUUUCCUUACAUCACAGAAGACUCCUCCUCCAGAGUACUUAUUGUUAUGACAUCUUAAAGGGUUCCAGAAUGUGAGGACAAGUGAAACUAGUAGCAUCAACAGCUCAUGCAGAAUGGGGACUAAAGGAACUGGGCCUAGGGCCAGGGCUGGAAUCCUGUCUUCCCCACCUACUAGCAGUGUGGUCUUGGGCAAAUUAUUCCACCUCUCCGUGAAGUCACAGUUAACCUGAUUGCAAGUGUUUCAAUUGGUUUGUAGAGUGUUCCACUCUGUGUUAGGGACAGAAUUAGUAUCAGAUGCAUGUGAAUCAGGAAUCAUUUAUAUAUUUACGUGUUCAAUAACUGUUAACUAUUAUUUCCGAAAGGCACACUAUGAGUAUCCAGUGCAGUUAUAGGCUCUGGCUUUGCUAAAUGGAGAAUAUUAAGGGAUGUCUGCAUCCUGCAUCCUUUUUAGGUCUUUCCCAGUUUAAAAGUCUUGAGAAACCAGAAUUCUCUUCCUAAGUCCAUCCUGUUCCCACUUCAGCCCAAGCAGACUUUCCCCUCACUCUAGAAUGCUGAGGAUACAGACCCUGGCAGAGCUUGAUCUUAGCCAUAUCCCAGUGCUGAGCCUAGUGCCUGGAAAAAAAAAAGUUUGUGAAAGAGGAAUACAGUGGUAUCUCCAGAAUUUUAAUAUAGAUGUGGUUUAGAGUUGAUUAUCUGGGUGAUUGGCGAUUAGGGAGCUUGAAUUGAAAUUGCAUUUGCUAUAGGAAAUGAUGGUGGUUAAAGGGGUGUGACUAAUGUCCCCUCAUCCUAGCCCUUGAAAUCACCAAUGAAUGCAAAAAGGAAUGAAUGAAUGAAUGAAUGAAUGAAGAGAGUAGCAGAGCUAGUGCUCUUUCAGUAGACACCACUACAAGGAUACAACCUCCAAGCAAUACCAGAGGACAGGAAGAAAUCUCAGAAUGGGACCUGAGAUGGACUAAUCCGAUAUAAACUGGGUAUUGAUAUAUUAUCUCUACCUGUCAACACCCCCAGGCUGGAGAAGUAUGCAUUUCAAUGGUUAUGAAAACGAUGCAUUCCUUGCCCUUGCAGGAAGACAAACAACUUGAACAGGGUCUUUGACCUGUGACUUGUGGCCCACGGUUUAGAAUACAAUGUUCUAGAGGAUAUAUACUUACUGAUGAGAUUCUCACCACUUUUUCAAUUUUCCUCACAGUGGCGUGAGAUUAAUGAGAUAACCAUUUUACAGCUCGAUGUGAAAGACACUAGUAUGUAUAAGCUAUUAUUGUCGUGUUUAUACUCCAG